AAAAAAACACUUGUACCAGCCCUCUAUAAAGUUAUUCAAGAUUCAAAUAAUGAGAUACAGCCUCCAAGAGUGCCUCUGCUGUGUACUGGAGUGAGUUUGAAGAAGUUCAGUGUAUUUCUGAAUGUUUUAUAACUCUGGGUAUGCAUAAUGUACGUAUAUGCAUAUCCAUAUGGUCAAGAGUUUUCAGAAUUCUUUGUUUGAAUAAUGAAUGUGUGUAUUCCCUACCCCUUGUUUUGCUCUGUCUUAACAUUUAAGCUUUGCUUAUUAAAAUGUAUUUGUUUUAAUGCUUUCUCUUUAGAUUGUAAGCUCUUCAUGGGCAGUGGUCAGAUAUUCUGUAUUUGUAACUUCCCGAGAAUCUAGUAUUUUAUCAUGUACAUAAUGAACAUAGAAUAGUAUUGAUUGGAAGGACAGUGAAGUACAAAAUGAGAUUCUAAAAUGACAUUUUCAUUAGGGCUCACAAGUGUAUAAGAAGUAUCCCUUUCCUAUUUUUUUGUUUAAUACUUUAGAAGCUAUUACAUUAAAAAAGCUAUUCUCAUUA
rnacentral:lncRNA from 1 species